rnacentral:tmRNA from 1 species
GGGGGCGAAUAGGCUUUCGACGGGUGAACACCGGCGACCAGCCGCGCGCCGUGGUGCGGGAGGCCACGUAAAAAAUCCGCAAAAAACACAAGUGCCGACGAUCACGUCGAGUACGCCCUCGCAGCCUGAUUUAACCAUCAGUAGGUGAGGCGGUGCAAAGGGCCGCCAAUGCCCCGAUGCACCUCUCAACGCAUUGGCUGGCUUGGGGAGCUGUCCGACUACCCCUGGCGAGACCCACCGGGCUGGUCUGUGGUGAAGGUUGGCGGCCGCCGCCAUCACGGAUGAGAUCAAACGACCGCCUACGCGCGUAGAAGCAUCGUACGAAUUUUCCCGGACCCGGGUUCGACUCCCGGCGCCUCCACCA